rnacentral:rRNA from 1 species
UACGAAGGGGGCUAGCGUUGCUCGGAAUCACUGGGCGUAAAGGGUGCGUAGGCGGGUCUUUAAGUCAGGGGUGAAAUCCUGGAGCUCAACUCCAGAACUGCCUUUGAUACUGAAGAUCUUGAGUCCGGGAGAGGUGAGUGGAACUGCGAGUGUAGAGGUGAAAUUCGUAGAUAUUGGGAAGAACACCGGUGGCGAAGGCGGCGACCUGGUCCGAUACUGACGCUGAGGCGCGAAAGCGUGGGGAGCAAACAGG